UACGUAGGGUGCGAGCGUUGUCCGGAAUUAUUGGGCGUAAAGGGCUCGUAGGCGGUUUGUCGCGUCGGGAGUGAAAACCAGGUGCUUAACACCUGGCUUGCUUUCGAUACGGGCAGACUAGAGGUAUGCAGGGGAGAACGGAAUUCCUGGUGUAGCGGUGAAAUGCGCAGAUAUCAGGAGGAACACCGGUGGCGAAGGCGGUUCUCUGGGCAUGACCUGACGCUGAGACGCGAAAGCGUGGGGAGCAAACAGG
rnacentral:rRNA from 1 species